rnacentral:lncRNA from 1 species
CAGGCUCCGAACCCCGUGAGGCCUUGUCAUUCAGCAAUAAAAUCCAGUCCCGCAGGCUUCCUGAAGGCUCAGCACCUACUGCCAGCCCCCAGGCUUCCACAUGGAGACCCCUGACACCAUUGCCUGCAGUUAAUCUCUGCCUGGAUGCUGAAGCUGCAUCUGCCCUGUCUUGUUCUUUCGAGUUCUCCUCACCCCCUGUGCUCCCCUGGACAGUCCUGGCAAGGACAAGCAGGUCUUUCCGAAGGAGAGGAACCCCGGGUUAUCUGUGGAGGAAGAGACAGACAGAAGCAGGCCUUAGAAGACAGCCUUCAAAGGCAUCGUUUUCAACAGAGGACCAGCCACUUUGAUGACCCAGCCUCCCUGACGGCCAGGCUGAUGGUCAGGGAUGGGGGACACUGACUCCCUGUUUCUCAAGCUGUAAAGCACACUGCUUCCCCAAACUCAGCACUGCCUGCUCCGGCCACGCAGAGUAAAGGCCACGGAUUCCAAGAGUGGGGGCAGCACUGGUUGGGCUUGUGGGGUGUGGUGGGGAAGGGGAGGGGCAGGGACCAACCCACAGGAAGACCAGUAUGGUGGCAGCCCUGGGGAGCUGCGGUGGCUUCGUCCUCUCCCCAGUAGCAGGGACUGCACCCAGGCUCUUCACCCUGAGGUACAUCUCCAGUUAGUUUUAGUUUUAUUUGGAGACAGGCCCUGCCUCACUAAGUCACUAAACUGCUCAGGCUGGGCUUGAACCUGGGAUGGUCCCUCCGCCUCCCAGUACUCUGAGAGUACAGAGGUGCCUGUGCCCAGCUUGUCUUGGCUCUUUGAACCCGACAGCUCUGCCCCCAAUGCUGCUGCGGGCUCCACUGUCAACAUCUGCUCCUGGUCCUGGCUGCAGGGCUGGGGACAGCAGGUAAAACAUCUGCCUUCUGCAACUAGGCAGUUGAGACCUACUGGUUGGCACACCCUCCAUCUCACAGGAGUCACCUUGUCCCCAGACGCAGGGAAUGGCCUGUGUCUUCCAGAGCCACCCAGACCAGGGACCAAGCCCUACUCCACACCGAGCAGAGGCAAGGUCUGAGGCGAGUUAUCUAAUCCCUCAAGCCUCCAUUUGCUCAUGCCUCGUACAAUGGUGACCUGGUCACUGCACAGGGGAGCGGCGCUUGCUUCAGGACACAACCCAGGACCUGGAAGGUGAAAGGGCUCAAAAACAUCCUCUGAUUAGACUACCAUAUUUCACGGACACUAAAGACAAUCAUUUUCCCACAUUUUGAUAUCUCUAGAAUGGAGGCACAUUUUACAGCAGCUGUGAUUUUAAAAUCCUCCUGUCAGCCAGGUGUGAUGGUGCAUGCCUGUUAAUCUCAGCACUCUGAGAGGCUGCAGAGAGGAUCAAAAGUUCGAGUUCAGCCUGGGUAACUUAGCAAGACCCGGUCUCAAAACAUGAAAAAAGGAGUUGAAGAUGUAGCUCAGUGGAAAGGCCCUGGGCUCAAUCCCAGGACUGCAAAAAUAAAUAAAUAAAUAAAUAGC